CAAAGCUGAAUAUUUUGUUGUCUUUUUGUCUUCUGUAGUUUCCUGGACAGAAUCGACUCUGUGAGACAGAGUGACUACACACCAACAGACCAGGACCUGCUACGCUGCCGAGUGUUAACUUCAGGGAUUUUUGAGACGAGGUUCCAAGUAGACAAAGUGAACUUUCACAUGUUUGAUGUUGGAGGCCAGAGAGAUGAAAGGAGGAAGUGGAUCCAGUGCUUUA